AUUGAACGCUGGCGGCAGGCCUAACACAUGCAAGUCGAGCGAGCGGCGGACGGGUGAGAAAUGUCUGGGAAACUGCCUGCUGGCGGGGGAUAACUACUGGAAACGGUGGCUCAUACCGCAUACCAUCGGAUGUGCCAAGAUGGGAUUGGCUAGUAGGUGGGGUAACGGCUCACAUAGGCGACGAUCCCUCGCUGGGCUGAGAGAAUGACCAGCCACACUGGAACGGAGACACGGUCCAGACUCCGACGGGAGGCAGCAGUGGGGAAUAUUGCAAAAGGGGCGAAAGCCUGAUGCAGCCAUGCCGCGGGGAUGAAGAAGGCUUUCGGGUUGUAAAGUACUUUCAGCGGGGAGGCGUUACCCGCAGAAGAAGCAACGGCUAACUACGUGCCAGCAGCCGCGGUAAUUC
rnacentral:rRNA from 1 species